GAUGAACGCUAGCGGCAGGCCUAAUACAUGCAAGUCGAACGGUGUAGCAAUACACAGUGGCGCACGGGUGCGUAACACGUAUGCAACCUACCUUACAUUGGGGGAUAGCCUUUCGAAAGGGAGAUUAAUACCGCAUAAGACAGUAACUAGGCAUCUAGUAGCUGUUAAAGAUUUAUCGAUGUAAGCUGGGCAUGCGUCCAAUUAGUUAGUUGGCGAGGUAAUGGCUCACCAAGACGAUGAUUGGUAGGGGAACUGAGAGGUCAAUCCCCCACACUGGCACUGAGAUACGGGCCAGACUCCUACGGGAGGCAGCAGUAGGGAAUAUUGGGCAAUGGGCGCAAGUCUGACCCAGCCAUGCCGCGUGCAGGAAGAAGGCGUUAUGCGUUGUAAACUGCCUUUAUACAGGAAGAAACGACCCUUGCGAGGGGCAUUGACGGUACUGUAUGAAUAAGCACCGGCUAACUCCGUGCCAGCCGCCGCGGUAAGAC
rnacentral:rRNA from 1 species